rnacentral:rRNA from 1 species
GCCAGACUCCUACGGGAGGCAGCAGUGGGGAAUAUUGCACAAUGGGGGAAACCCUGAUGCAGCGACGCCGCGUGAGUGAAGAAGUAAUUCGUUAUGUAAAGCUCUAUCAGCAGGGAAGAAAAUGACGGUACCUGAGUAAGAAGCCCCGGCUAACUACGUGCCAGCAGCCGCGGUAAUACGUAGGGGGCAAGCGUUAUCCGGAUUUACUGGGUGUAAAGGGAGCGUAGACGGCAGUGCAAGUCUGGAGUGAAAGGCGGGGGCAUAACCCCUGGACUGCACUGGGAACUGUCAGGCUGGAGUGCCGGAGGGGUAAGCGGAAUUCCUGGUGUAGCGGUGAAAUGCGUAGAUAUCAGGAGGAACACCGGUGGCGAAGGCGGCCUGCUGGACUGCAACUGACGUUGAGGCCCGAAAGCGUGGGGAGCAAACAGGAUUAGAUACCCGAGUA